rnacentral:rRNA from 1 species
CCUACGGGAGGCAGCAGUAGGGAAUUUUCGGCAAUGGGGGGAACCCUGACCGAGCAACGCCGCGUGAACGAAGAAGUCAUUCGUAAUGUAAAGUUCUUUUAACAGGGAAGAAAGAGAAAUUUUACGUUACCUGAAGAAUAAGCUCCGGCUAACUACGUGCCAGCAGCCGCGGUAAUACGUAGGGAGCGAGCGGUAUCCGGAAUUAUUGGGCGUAAAGGGUGCGUAGAGGGCAUAGUAAGUCUUUUGUAAAAAUGCUGGGCUCAACCCAGUAGGGCAAAAGAUACUGCAAAGCUAGAGUAUGACAGAGGCAGGUGGAAUUACAUGUGUAGCGGUGAAAUGCGUAGAUAUAUGUAAGAACACCAGUGGCGAAGGCGGCUUGCUGGGUCGAUACUGACGUUGAGGCACGAAAGCGUGGGGAGCAAACAGGAUUAGAUACCCUUGUAGUC